rnacentral:rRNA from 1 species
GACGAACGCUGGCGGCGUGCUUAACACAUGCAAGUCGAACGGAAAGGCCCUGCUUUUGUGGGGUGCUCGAGUGGCGAACGGGUGAGUAACACGUGAGUAACCUGCCCUUGACUUUGGGAUAACUUCAGGAAACUGGGGCUAAUACCGGAUAGGAGCUCCUGCUGCAUGGUGGGGGUUGGAAAGUUUCGGCGGUUGGGGAUGGACUCGCGGCUUAUCAGCUUGUUGGUGGGGUAGUGGCUUACCAAGGCUUUGACGGGUAGCCGGCCUGAGAGGGUGACCGGCCACAUUGGGAGUGAGAGCGGCCCGAGCCCCCUCCGGGAGGAGGAGGGGGGGAAUAUUGCAAAAUGGGGGGAGCCCGUAUGCAGCACCGCCGCGUGGGGAAGGACGGCUUUCGGUUUGAAACCCGCUUCCCCCGGGGAAAAAGUGGGAGGGAGGGUAGUGGAUAAAGAGACCCGGACAAACUCGGUC